GACGAACGCUGGCGGCGUGCUUAACACAUGCAAGUCGAACGGAAAGGCCCUGCUUUUGUGGGGUGCUCGAGUGGCGAACGGGUGAGUAACACGUGAGUAACCUGCCCUUGACUUUGGGAUAACUUCAGGAAACUGGGGCUAAUACCGGAUAGGAGCUCCUGCUGCAUGGUGGGGGUUGGAAAGUUUCGGCGGUUGGGGAUGGACUCGCGGCUUAUCAGCUUGUUGGUGGGGUAGUGGCUUACCAAGGCUUUGACGGGUAGCCGGCCUGAGAGGGUGACCGGCCACAUUGGGACUGAGAGACGGCGCAGACGCCUACGGGAGGCAGCAGGGGGGAAUAUUGCACAAUGGGCGGAAGCCUGAUGCAGCAAUGCCGCGUGCGGGAUGACGGCCUUCGGGUUGUAAACCGCUUUCGCAGGUGACGAAGCGUGAGUGACGGUAAUGGGUAAAGAAGCACCGGCUAACUACGUG
rnacentral:rRNA from 1 species